GACGAACGCUGGCGGCGUGCUUAACACAUGCAAGUCGAACGGAAAGGCCCUGCUUUUGUGGGGUGCUCGAGUGGCGAACGGGUGAGUAACACGUGAGUAACCUGCCCUUGACUUUGGGAUAACUUCAGGAAACUGGGGCUAAUACCGGAUAGGAGCUCCUGCUGCAUGGUGGGGGUUGGAAAGUUUCGGCGGUUGGGGAUGGACUCGCGGCUUAUCAGCUUGUUGGUGGGGUAGUGGCUUACCAAGGCUUUGACGGGUAGCCGGCCUGGGAGGGUGACCGGCCCCAUUGGGACGGAGGUCCGCCCCAGGCUCCUACGGGGGGCAGCGGGGGGGAAUAUUGCCCAGUGGGCGGGGGCCUGAGGCAGCAACCCCGGGGGGGGGAUGACGGCCUUCGGGUUGUAAACCGCUUUCGCCUUUGACGAAGCGUGGGUGACGGUAAUGGGUAAAGAAACACCGGCGAACUCCGU
rnacentral:rRNA from 1 species